GCGCAGCCUGAUGGAGCACACCGCGUGAGUGAAGAAGGGUUUCGGCUCGUAAAGCUCUGUUGUUAAAGAAGAACACGUAUGAGAGUAACUGUUCAUACGUUGACGGUAUUUAACCAGAAAGUCACGGCUAACUACGUGCCAGCAGCCGCGGU
rnacentral:rRNA from 1 species